rnacentral:rRNA from 1 species
UACGUAGGGGGGCAAGCGUUGUCCGGAUUUAUUGGGCGUAAAGAGCGUGUAGGCGGCUUUACAGGUCCGUUGUGAAAACUCGAGGCUCAACCUCGAGACGCCGGGUGGAAACCGUAAGGCUAGAGUCCGGAAGAGGAGAGUGGAAUCCUGGUGUAGCGGUGAAAUGCGCAGAUAUCAGGAAGAACACCCGUGGCGAAGGCGGCUCUCUGGGACGGUACUGACGCUGAGACGCGAAAGCGUGGGGAGCGAACAGG